rnacentral:rRNA from 1 species
UACGGAGGAUCCAAGCGUUAUCCGGAUUCAUUGGUUUAAAGGGUGCGUAGGCGGAAUGAUAAGUCAGUGGUGAAAUCCUGCAGCUUAACGUGCAGAACUGCCAUUGAUACUGUCAAUCUUGAGUACAUUUGAUGUGGGCGGAAUGUGUCAUGUAGCGGUGAAAUGCUUAGAUAUGACACAGAACAGCCGAUUGCGAAGGCAGCUCACAAAACUGUAACU